CGGGGUGUAGCUCAGCUUGGUAGAGCGCUUGCUUCGGGAGCAAGAGGUCGUAGGUUCGACUCCUGUCACCCCGACCA
rnacentral:tRNA from 1 species